UGGGAUCCGAUCCACGCUCUGGCUUCUUUCAAUCCUUGCUUCUCUCCUCCCCUCGUUGGCCCCACCCUUUAUUUACUGCCCGCCCCAACCCCACGGAUCCAGACACACUCACACGCUCGCACACGCACGCUUAUUCUUUCUCUCCUUCAACUUUGUGAUGUGCUGCCGGGAAAGUCGAUUGAGUGUUGAGUCCUCAAGACAGAUCAAAUCCAACCUAUGGGUCUGAACAGAGGCAGCCUCCUCCGUUCUCUUUCUUGCGGUGAUCCUGGAUAGAAGCUCCCAGCCACCUGAGUUCUGUGCUCUGAAGAUGGGGUCGAUUUCUCCUUUGGGACAGAACCACUUUACAAGUGCUGGGACCUCUCUCUGUCUGUCUUCUACACAACCACCACAGACACUGGCAACCAUAUGUUCAUCUCUGGUACCCACCUUGGAAAAGUGAAGGAUGUCAGAAUGUGCCUCAUACGGCCUUCAACAGUACCACAGAAAAUUUUCCAUGAUGAGUUGCUUGACCUCAGACAGCAGUAAAGAAGGCAGUCUAUCUGGGAUGUUGAGGAAGAAGGAUCCCAGAAUUAGAGAGAAGAGAGACAAGAACCAGCAGGAAGGUAGAACAAAAAGCUAACAGAAUCAAAGGAGCAUUCCAACAGAAGGCUGGAUUCAUUGCACAUCUCAACCACUGAAAUAUUUUCAGGUGAUUCUGUUUUUUUUGACAAAAUGUGGAAACCACAGGACCUACAACACUUACAAGCAAAACUCAGCAACUCUAAUAAUAGUUGUAGGAGUGAAAGCCAAUUUGGAUAAAAUAAGACAUUGACUCAAGUCCUCUGCGAGAAGACUUUUGAAAACAAAGUUUUCCGAAACCUAGUUUCUUCCUUUGGGAAAUCGCAUUCCACUUUGCACCUUGACUCUUUUUCUGGAUUUUUUCAUGACUUGGAGAAUUUUCCUGCAGUGUUUCUUUUCCAUCUGAUAUCAUGAAAUGUGGGAGUUUUUCUUUUCUUUUCUUUGUUACUAUACAGUGGUUCAAAGGCCUGCUCUAGCUUUUGGCUGAGCAUGUGCUUUGAGGUCCACCCUCCCUGGGAAGGAUGUGAGUGACAUCAGCCACGAGUGCAAGUGAGAUCUCUUUCAUGGGGUUUAGUAUUCAGUGCUCUCACAUUUCCAACGAUGUGCCCCAAAGGUAGCAGGUGAAAACAUCACUUUUAGUGUCUGUUAGCCCACUGUCUAGGCAAAGUAUCCGUGGCGUGGUCAGUAAGGAGUUAAUAUGAAUGCUUUUGUAUCCCUGCCACAUUGAUCAAAAAUUCAGUGGAAUACUUCUGUAUUGACACUAUUUUCAGAACAAAAAAGACAUUUCUCUUCCCUGCAUGCUGAUGGCCCAUUUUAGUACCUAAUAUUUGAAUAAUGUUUAAGUAUGCUAUUUUUCCCUAGACAAUUUAAUAUAUCCUUUGUUAAUUUGAAAAUAAUAAAGAAAGGGAACAAUUUUUUUUUUUUUAGUGGUAUGCAGUAGGAAGACCAAGAGUACAUUUUUAGGCACAAAGUGGUGUGGAGUGGAGAAACAAAACUUGAACAUGGAUCUGAAUUUUUUUUGUUUUGAGUCUUUGUAUUUCCUUGGGGAAAUCAGUUUUGUUGACCUGUUACUGAAGCCUCUAGCUCCAUCUCUGAAAUCAAUGUUCAGAUCCUCUGUUUCCAACUUCGUAUCCAUAGUCUAUGUUGCCAGCUCAUUCAUUAUUUCCCUUGCCUCUUCACAAUCUGACAUAGGGUCACUAUGGUACAAUACGGAAAACAGGUUGGAGGGGAGGAUGGGGUUGGUCUAUACAGGUAAGAGGAUAACACAGGGAUUCUUGGUAAAUCAGCGAUGGUAUGAUCUCAUGCUGUGGGGAUAGAUAGAAGGGAACAGAAUCAGAGGAAUGAUAUGGUGUCCAGCUGCCUGGAAGCCGCUUUACUGACUUAGAGAAUAAGGAGAAAGGAGAUGUCAAGGAUGAUGCUCAGGCUGCUGGCUUGAGACAUCUGCUUACCAUCAGUACCCUUCACUGGGACACAGCAGGACCAUUAGCUUUAGGGAACAGAGACAGAAGUUGCAUUUGGGGCUCAGUAAUUUGAAAUUUCCUUAGGACAUUGUCACCUGAAUGUUUUUGGACCCUUGAGGGCUAUGACUUUCACGUAUCGAAAGCCUUUCCCAGCACAUGUUAUGACAUCUGCAGCAAAACCUUAAGUCCAAAAAUAAUUUUGAUAAGCAUGAUAGAUUUUUUUUUCUGGAGGGUUCAUUGGAAAGACAGAUUUUUUACACUAUAUAUCAAAAUUUAAAAAAAAAAUUUAGAAUGAUCUUUUCUGAUAAUUCUUUCCCUGAAUCUCAAAUCUCCAUAAUAAUUACUGAUCAUUUUCUCUAUUUCUUUUAAUAAAUGAUUUUUCUCUAACUACCAUCCUUCAAAAUGUCCAAAUAUGCAUCUUUUAUUCACUUGGACAUAAGAUGGGAAUCAUUUUUGGUCUGGGGUAUGAGUUACGCCACAAUAUAUUGCAAUUUUAUUGCUAAGCACACCCUUUCUUAUUAACUAUAUAUGUCCUCUCCUCCUGUAUUUGAUACAGAACCCCCUAGGGCCAUAGCUGUUUUGUCAUUUUUUUGCUACUGUUGUUCAUUUUAAUACCAAAACUUAGAUUAGGCUUAUUGGACUUACAUUAGAUAGGACACAAGUAUAUUGAGUGAAAUAAAUCUUCAGCAUAAGUUUAUUAUUUUUCAUGUGAUAUUUAUUUUCAUGAAACUUGACUGGACUUUCUAGGUUGAAAUUCACUCUUUCUUAUAGAGUUCUACAACAAAUUAAUUUUAUCUCUGGUUUAUGGCUUCCAUAUAUCUCAUGUUACAUUCUAUUAAGGUCAUUCCAUAUGUAGUAUUGUCUACUACGCUGGUUAAAGUUUGUUAGUUCUUUGUAUUGGCGAUAUCCAUUUAAUGGCUUGAUUAUGUCAGUGCUCCAAAUGUCUUUUUAAAGUACACUUAUGAAAAUAUAAAUGGACUGAAUGCCUGUUCUAGUGUUUAGGUUCUUGUUUUUUUAACUCUACAUUGUCUCUAUUUUCUCCCUCGAUAUAAAACACUUCUGUUUCUGAUUGUUCAUCUUGUGCUAACCCAGGCUUAUUUUGCUUGAGAGCAGGAGCCAUUUCUUUUUGUAGUUUGUAUCCUUUCAUCAUGUUUUUUAUUUUCACAUUUUGCUAAUGCUGAUUGCUUAAAAUGUUAAUUGAAUGAAGUCAUGCAGUCAGAGUCAAACAGGAUAUCCAGUUUGUUAUUCUUAGAAUAUCACCCUCGAGUUUGAAUAAUGGGCUUUCUUGAGUAAUUGUAUAGAACUUUCAACAUCUUAGCAAAAAAGGAGGAAAAGCUACUAGGAAGACCACAAUGGUGUCUAUCUCCAUUUGAUGUUUUCUCAAGAACAUGUCUGACUCAAUUUCACCACUUCUAUUCAACAUACACUGGAAGUUCCAGCCAGAGCAUUAGGUAAGAGAAAGAGACAAAAGGCAUCCAAAUUGGAAACACACACACACACACACACACACACACACACACACACACAAUUGUCCCUAUUUGCAGAUUGUAAGGUCUUAUAUACUAAAAUCCUGAAUGCUCUAUUGAAAACACAUUAUGAUUAGCAUAAAAAUCAAUUUGCAAAAAUUAGAAGUAUCCAAAAUAGAAAUAAAAUGAUGUUUAAAAUAACUACAAUUUGAAUAGAUUUAAUAAAAAAGAUGAAGGAUCUCUAGAAUUGAAACUAUAAAACACUGAUCAGAGAAAUUGAAGAAGACACAAAUAAAUGGAAACAUUGCUCAUAUUUAUGUUGUGAAAAUUAAUAUCCGAUAAGGGAUUGAAUUGCAUAACAUAAAAAGAAUUCAAAUAACACAAUAUUGAUAUAGAAAAUAGAUUUAAAAUGGGCAAAAAUUCGUGUUAAAUAUUUCUCAUAACAUCAAAAUGUCCAACAUUUUUAUCUAAAAAUGCGCAACAUCACUGAUAUCAGACAAAUGCAUGUCAAAAUCUCAGUGAGAUAUUACUCUACCUAGAAUGACUAUUGUCCAAAACCCAAAAGAUAACAAGUGUUGGCAAUGAUGUGGAUAAAAGGGAUCUCUUAUACACUUUCAGUGGGAAGAUAAAUUUGUACAGCCAUUAUGAAAAAUAGUAUGGAGUUUUCUCACAAAUUCUUUAAAAAUCAGCUACCAUAUGAUUCAACAAUACUACUACGGGUCAUAUCCAAAGGAAAUGAAAUUCAUAUGUUAAAGAAACAUUUAUACUGUGGGUUUAUUACUAAUAAAUUCCCAAUAGCCAGGGUAUGGGAUCAACCUAAGUGUCUCUAAGUGGGUAAAAUCAUGAAUAAAAUAUGGUAUAUAUAGACCAGGAAAUACUACUCAGCAAUAAAAAAUGAAAUCCUGUAAUUUUCAACAACAUGGAUGAAGCAGGAGGAUAGUAAGGGCAAUAAGCCAGGCAGAGAAAGAUGAUGAUCUCACACAUAUGUGAACUCUGAAGGCAAAAUCUCAAAGAGAGAUGUUUGUUCUAUAUCAUAAGAGAAUGACUACAGAUCGUGAUAAUAUGGUGUAGAUUUCCAAACGAUGAGAAGAGAAACUUUUUAAAGAGGAUUUAUUGCUAUAAAGAAAUAAUGAAUGCUAAAAUUGAUGAACAUGCUACUUACCGAAUUUGAUCAUUACACAAAAUUUACAUGCAUCAAAACAUCAUAUGAAGAGAUACAAGUGAUCAACAAACAUUUUUAAAAAGUUUAACAUCUUUAGUAAUUAGAGAAAUGCAAAUCAAAAUUACUUUAAGAUUUCAUCUCACUCUAGUCAGAAUGGCAGUUAUCAAGAAUACAAGCAACGA